rfam:Salmo salar isolate Sally breed double haploid chromosome ssa06, whole genome shotgun sequence.
UGCAUUCACUAUGGUAAGUCACUCUGGAUAAGAGUGUCUGCUAAAUUACUAAAA